UACGUAGGGUGCGAGCGUUAAUCGGAAUUACUGGGCGUAAAGCGUGCGCAGGCGGUUUGCUAAGACCGAUGUGAAAUCCCCGGGCUCAACCUGGGAACUGCAUUGGUGACUGGCAGGCUAGAGUAUGGCAGAGGGGGGUAGAAUUCCACGUGUAGCAGUGAAAUGCGUAGAGAUGUGGAGGAAUACCGAUGGCGAAGGCAGCCCCCCUGGGCCCAAUACUGACGCUCAUGCACGAAAGGCGUGGGGAGCAAACGAGGAUUAGAGUACCCGGG
rnacentral:rRNA from 1 species